UUUUCCUAGUAAUGAUACAUGCUCCUCUUUACAGUGGUGUUUAAUGACAUUCGUGACAAAAGGUAAAUUUUUUAUGAGUUUAUAAGUUUACAAAAUGUUACUACUAAUAGGUUAUUAAGUUAUUGAUAACUUAAAAAAGAACAAAUGAUAAUAAUGAUUUAACCAAGAAUAAAGAACAAGGUAAGUAAGGCAGAAGCAGUUUAUGACAACAUACAAGAUAAACAAAAAAAAAAUAUUUAAACAUCAAUUAUGAUGUGAUACAAGAUUUGGAAGUUAUACAUAUAUGAAGAUACAAGUGAUUCAAUGUAGUCAUUUGUAGCAAUAGAGUGCAAGGAAAAACAUAUUUUAUAAUAUCUAAGAAAACAACAAAGAUAUUAACAGAAACAUUAAUAUACAUAUAAGAAGAAUAUAGAAAUAAAUAUAUAAAGAUGAUCAUAUCAUCAUCAUAUCAUAUC
rnacentral:misc_RNA from 1 species